rnacentral:rRNA from 1 species
AAAAAGGUACAGCCUUUUAGAAACGGAUACAACCUUGACUAGAGAGUAAAAUUUAACACUACCAUAGUAGGCCUAAAAGCAGCCAUCAAUUAAGAAAGCGUUAAAGCUCAACAACAAAAAUUAAAUAGAUUCCAACAACAAAUGAUUAACUCCUAGCCCCCAAUACUGGACUAAUCUAUUAUAGAAUAGAAGCAAUAAUGUUAAUAUGAGUAACAAGAAAAAUUUUCUCCUUGCAUAAGUCUAAGUCAGUGCCUGAUAAUACUCUGACCACUAACAGUCAAUAAAAAUAAUCCAACAAUAAACAAUUUAUUGAUUAUACUGUUAACCCAACACAGGAGUGCAUCUAAGGAAAGAUUAAAAGAAGUAAAAGGAACUCGGCAAACACAAACCCCGCCUGUUUACCAAAAACAUCACCUCCAGCAUUCCCAGUAUUGGAGGCAUUGCCUGCCCAGUGACAACUGUUUAACGGCCGCGGUAUCCUGACCGUGCAAAGGUAGCAUAAUCAUUUGUUC